rnacentral:rRNA from 1 species
UACGUAGGAGGCAAGCGUUGUCCGGAAUUACUGGGCGUAAAGCGCGUGUAGGCGGAUGCCUAAGUCUGUGGUGAAAGCGCCUGGCUUAACCGGGCGAGGUCCAUGGAAACUAGGCGUCUGGAGGCCGGUAGAGGGGGGUGGAAUUCCGGGUGUAGUGGUGAAAUGCGUAGAGAUCCGGAGGAACACCAGUGGCGAAGGCGGCCCCCUGGGCCGCGCCUGACGCUGAGACGCGAAAACGCGGGGAGCGAACGGG